CCAGAUUCUGGUUUGCUGUGAAGUCCCGUCCAUGACUUCUGGGGUCCUGAGCUGCACCUGCUGGAGCCGCCAGCUCCGCACAGCCAGCUCUGCUGCUGGAGUGACGCCACCUCCACAUCGAGCAUUCGAGAUUGGACCUCAGGCCUGAAAUACAGCUCAUACAGAGAUCACCAAGGAACCACAUUUGCCUACCUGACUGCAGAGGCUAAGACAUCUGAAAUGGAAAGUUUCUGCAAGCCCUGUUUCAUCCCUUGGAGGAGAAAACACCCAGACUGAAAAGAAGCAACAUCAUUACCUCUGCUGAAACUAGUACAGGGUUAGUCAAUGGCUAAUAGAGGGCAA